rnacentral:sRNA from 1 species
UGACGGUAGCGUGCGGCGCAGUUUCAGC